UCCUCCCUCUGGCGGCGUGCUUAACACAUGCAAGUCGAACGGAAAGGCCCUGCUUUUGUGGGGUGCUCGAGUGGCGAACGGGUGAGUAACACGUGAGUAACCUGCCCUUGACUUUGGGAUAACUUCAGGAAACUGGGGCUAAUACCGGAUAGGAGCUCCUGCUGCAUGGUGGGGGUAGGAAAGUUUCGGCGGUUGGGGAUGGACUCGCGGCUUAUCAGCUUGUUGGUGGGGUAGUGGCUUACCAAGGCUUUGACGGGUAGCCGGCCUGAGAGGGUGACCGGCCACAUUGGGACUGAGAUACGGACCAGACUCCUACGGGAGGCAGCAGUGGGGAAUAUUGCACAAUGGGCGGAAGCCUGAUGCAGCAACGCCGCGUGCGGGAUGACGGCCUUCGGGUUGUAAACCUCUUUCGCCUGUGACGAAGCGUGAGUGACGGUAAUGGGUAAAGAAGCACCGGCUAACUACGUG
rnacentral:rRNA from 1 species